rnacentral:lncRNA from 1 species
UCAUCUUUGUCCUUUCUCUAUAUAAUCCUUUGUUCUCCACUACUUCUUUCUUCAUAACUUCACACCAUUAACCAAGAAACCUCUCUCUUAAAUUCUUGGUUUUCAAGUGUUUGGAGUGAUCUUUGUGUUAUUUCUUCAUCUGGGCUGCUCUUCAUUCUUGAAGAAAGACUUGUGUUGUUGGAAAUGACUGGUGUUUUGCACUCAGCUUUUGGGAUUUUUGGUGAGUUUUUCAGUUUCAUUGAAGGAUUUUGUUUGUGUUUUGAUUGUUAGUAAUGGGUGGUUUUUGGUGGUGGUUGAAACAGGGGAUUUGACUGGCUUGUUCCUCUUCUUGGCCCCAGUGUAAGUAUUUAGUUUCAUGUACACUUCAAUUUGUUUUAAGAUUAUAUUGUUUGUGUGUUUGUAACAAGAUUGUGAGCUCUUUUGUUACUGUGUUUCAUUCAGAAACUUUAAGGAAUCUGGUUUUAAAGUUUUUAUAUUAUGGCCAUCUUUGAUUUUUGUUUUUUAGUAGUACUGUUCCAUUGAUGUUUUCUUUCUUGAAAAUCUGUAAAAGGUCUGUUUUUCUUCAUUUAUGAAAUGUAGUUGAUAUGGUAUAUUCAUCUCUCUCUCUCUCUCUCUCUCUCUCUCUCUCACACACACACACACAUGUACAAGUUGUUGAUUGAAAUUUGAUGGGAAAAUGACAGAAUCACAUUCAAGAGGAUCCUACUAAACAAAUCUACUGAGCAAUUUUCAGGCAUACCAUAUGUCAUGACCCUCCUCAAUUGCCUGCUUUCUGCUUGGUAAUUUUUUGCUUCAUUACAAUGCUUGUUUGAUGUGGGUCAAUAUCUCAUUGUGUGUGUUUUGGCAUACUUAAAUUAUAAUCACUGAAUAGGUAUGGACUGCCUUUUGUGUCACCGAACAACAUACUAGUUUCGGUGGUAAAUGGAACUGGUGCAGUGAUUGAAGCAGUUUAUGUUCUGAUAUUUCUCAUCUUUGCUCCUAAGAAAGAGAAGAUGAAGAUCUUCGGAAUUCUCAUGGUCAUCCUCACUAUUUUCGGAACUGUUGCCUUUGUGUCCAUGUUCGCGCUUCAUCAUAACAAGCGCAAGGUUUUCUGUGGUUUUGCUGCUGCAAUUUUCUCUGUUAUAAUGUAUGGUUCCCCUCUUUCUGUUAUGGUAAGAACACUUGAUUUUGGCCUAGUCUUUUUGUUAUAUGUAAGGCGUAAAAUAUUAUUUGAUUUGGAUCACAGAAUUAUGACUUGGGUAUUCUGUAAACCUUGAAUCCCUGUGAUUACUCCAAUUGUUAAACGUAUAGUUGUAUGUUCCACCUCACAUAUAAGGCUUCCGUUUUUUUGAAGUUCAUGUGGUCUAAAUGUGCAGAGGAUGGUGAUGAAAACACAAAGCGUCGAGUACAUGCCUUUCUUCUUGUCGUUCUGCAGUUUCCUUUGUGGAACGUCAUGGUUUAUUUAUGGCCUCUUAGGAAAAGACCCCUUUGUAGCUGUAAGUACCGUUGUUUCUCUAUGGUCUUACAAGACACAGACACAAAACUAUGUGUGUUUGUGUAUGUUAUAUGUUUGUUUGAUCUAGUGCAUUCAUAUAAACUGUUCUAAUUUGCAGGUUCCAAAUGGUUUCGGAUGUGGGCUGGGGAUACUACAGCUGAUUCUGUAUGCAACUUACUGCGGAAACAAAGGCCAGACCAAGAAAACUGCUGAUGGAUCAUCUCUGGAGCUGGGGCAGGCCAACGGAGACACCCCGGAUAAGCCAAACCUCAAGUAGGCGAAACAUCAAUGUCGAACAAUCUGCACUACAAUCUCUAGCUUCUAGCUGCUUGUCAAUUGUAAUAUACUCAAGCUAAGCUCUCAAGUUGAGCUCUUGUGUUAUUUCAUUUCCUAGUUGGCUAUUUAGCUGGCUUUUGUACUAGUAUUGUUUUAAUUGUAUUUCUCAGUUUGGUUAAAAAUGUAUGACAUUUUCUAAUCUUUGUUGGUUUAGUGCACAAAAAGAACUUCAAAAUGGGGAAAUGUCUGGUGCAGUUUUAGAGCUUGCUGCUAAAUUUAGGACACUUUUUUUGCUAAUAUUGUGGCAAUUAACUAAUUAAGAAACCUGCAAUCCCAAGAAUGACUUCAUACAAAAUUUUGAUUUUUUUUUUGACAAAUAUGGCUUAUAGCUUUACAAAUGAGUAUCUGUUCUACGAAACUCUCAGGUGAUCUCAGGGUGAGUCAGGGUUGAACCCAGGACCUCGGACGACAGAGGAUAAGCUUUGAAUUUAAUCGCUCACCUAUUACAAAAAUUUAAACAUAGUGCGCAUCACGGAGAAAUUUAAAUACACACGCUCUCAUGUAACCAUUCUUCCAACCACUCCGUUUAAAUAUCACUGUCCAACUUGUAUCUCUUUCAAAAUUCACUAUCUGAUAAUUCAAUUAUAGUACUGUUCCUUCCCUCGUAAACAAGUUUGAUAUAACUUAUAAGUGUUCUGGUUCUGUUGAUGCGCCUUUAUAUUAUACUACUCGGCCCAAUUCGGAUUGAAAACAAACAUAUAAAGGGCCUGUUUGGGACUUAAAAAGUCCAUAAAUUAAGGUCUUGUUUUUUUUUCUAAAACAUACAUAUUUUUAUCUUUUUUGGAUCCAAAGAUCAAGAAAGUGUUAUGACAAAAAAAAAAAUUAAGAAAGUGUUUUAUAUUUAUUUCUGUGAAAAAAUAAGAAUUUAUUUCAGGUACAUGUCAAGACUCCCUACUGAAAAAAUAAAUUAUCUAGCUCCGAACCCCAACCUAACUCAUCCUCGUAUCCUCGUAUAUAUGAAAAUAUGUUAAUUAGUAUAAGACUCGAACCCAAAUCUUUCCGUUACAAAUACAUCACUCAAACCACUUGAGCUACACAAUCAAUUAAAUUUUUAUACAAAAGCAUUAACUACAUACAUUAAACUAUUGUAUUUAUAUUCUUUUCAAUAUCUUAUUUAUUUGAGAUAAAUUAUUAUUUUAUUUAAGUCUCAUAUAUUGUUUACAUUAUAGAUUAAUAUUUAUAAAUUAAUUAUUUACGUAAAUAAAUUUAAAAUUGAAAAGAAUCUCAAUAAUCGGGCUCGAACCAUGAUUCAGAUUUCUAAAAAUAUAUAUAAUUCAUAUUCGAAUAAAAAUGAACGAAUUUAAAUUUAACUUAAUAAUUUAAACGAGUACCAAUACAAUAUUAUAGAAAUUUUAAGUCAUGAAUAUGAGAUAUAAGCACAAAAACUGAGUUUUCAGUGAGCAUUUUGAAAGGAAAGAUUGAGAAAUACUGCUGCGAUCGGAAGUUGCUGGGUAGCUCCAGACAGGGGAUGGUUAAAACUAAAUGUUGAUGCCGCAUUACAUGUGGGUGAAGAUAGUUUUGCAGUUGGUAUGGUCCUUCGAAAUGAGCAUGGAGAAUUUGUGAUGGGAAAAAACUUAAGGAUGGCAGGUCAGGUGACUGUAAUGGAGGCGGAAGCUCAUGGUGUUUACGAGGCGCUAAGGUGGGUGGAUGAUUUAAGGCUCCACCAGGUGGUUAUAGAAAGUGAUUCAAGUCUUGUUGUCCAAGCAUUGCAGCUGAGAUCCUCAUAUUUUCUGGAGGUGGGGAAUAUCUUAGAAGCUUGUCAAGGUAUGCUAGAACAUCGUUCUGAUCUGAUAGUUCAUCAUGUUAAAAGGCAUGCAAAUGGGGUUGCUCAUGUUUUAGCAAAAAUGCCCUGUUUGAUUGAUUGCCAUAAUAUUUUUGUAUCUCCUCCACACUGUGUGUUGGAGAGUUUAUCUGUUGAUUGCUCUUCUACUUAAUAAAACUGGUGUCCUUUGGUUUCAAAAAAAAAAAAAAAANGGAGGCAUGUUCGACACGUGUCCAUCUCACAACAUUAAUUUAAAUAAAUUUUAUUAUUGAAACUUAAAAAAAAUUAAAAAAUUGUUCUCGUAAAACUAAAAAAUAUUGAUGAUUUCUUUACAAAAAAAAUAAAAUAUAUUGAUGAUUUAUUUCGAGUUUUACCGGAUGGCCCGGAAAUAUUACAUCCUAGUCCUUGCUGUGGGUAUGUAUGUGUGUCAUCUUUGUCCUUUCUCUAUAUAAUCCUUUGUUCUCCACUACUUCUUUCUUCAUAACUUCACACCAUUAACCAAGAAACCUCUCUCUUAAAUUCUUGGUUUUCAAGUGUUUGGAGUGAUCUUUGUGUUAUUUCUUCAUCUGGGCUGCUCUUCAUUCUUGAAGAAAGACUUGUGUUGUUGGAAAUGACUGGUGUUUUGCACUCAGCUUUUGGGAUUUUUGGUGAGUUUU